GAUGAACGCUAGCGACAGGCCUAACACAUGCAAGUCGAGGGGCAUCGGGGUGUAGCAAUACGCUGCCGGCGACCGGCGGAUGGGUGAGUAACGCGUAUGCAACCUGCCUUCAGCAGGGGGAUAGCCCGUUGAAAGACGGAUUAAUACCCCAUAACACAGGGGCUCCGCAUGGAGAUUAUUGUUAAAGGGAUACUUCCUUCGGGGGGUAUUCCGGCUGAAGAUGGGCAUGCGUUCCAUUAGGUAGUUGGUUGAGGUAACGGCUCACCAAGCCUGCGAUGGAUAGGGGAACUGAGAGGUUGGUCCCCCACACUGGUACUGAGACACGGACCAGACUCCUACGGGAGGCAGCAGUGAGGAAUCUUGGUCAAUGGACGGAAGUCUGAACCAGCCAUGUCGCGUGAAGGAGGACGGCCCUAAGGGUUGUAAACUUCUUUUGCAGGGGAAUAAAGUAUUCCACGAGAUGGGAUAUUGCAAGUACGCUGCGAAUAAGGAUCGGCUAACUCGUGCC
rnacentral:rRNA from 1 species